rnacentral:rRNA from 1 species
CGCACGGGUGAGUAACACGUAUGCAACCUGGCCGUGACAGAUGGAUAACCCGGAGAAAUCCGGCCUAAUACCGCAUGUGGCCGAGGGGAGGCAUCUUCUUUCGGCCAAAGGAGGCGACUCCGGAGACGGAUGGGCAUGCGUGACAUUAGCUAGUUGGCGGGGUAACGGCCCACCAGGGCGACGAUGUCUAGGGGUUCUGAGAGGAAGGUCCCCCACACUGGUACUGAGACACGGACCAGACUCCUACGGGAGGCAGCAG